GGAGGAGUGGAGUGGGAGCCCCAGAUGGUCUGAACUUAACCUUGAGAUCUAACCUUUGAAGACAACACCAUGCAGGACUAUAAAUAGGUAAGAAAAGCUAUGGAAGUGAGAAAAGAGAUCUCCACAAAGUUGAUUUCAUGGACCUGCUCUGAAAGAGAGAGUACUCGCAGAUGAGAGCAGCAUGAAGAUUGCCUGAAUAUCUCUGUAAUUUAUGGCAGCCCCUUGACGCUGGAAGAAAUUACAUCACAUACACAUGGAAAAAAAAAACAACCUAGUGGAAAGAGUGAGAUUCAACAUAAACUUGCAAGCUCUGCUUAUAAUGUGAAGCAACAAUACAUGAACAUACUGUUCUUCUGCUGCUACUCUGGAGAAAGAAUGAGGGUAAAACGUGUGAGAGAGCCACAGUUAAAUUACUCACUAUUAGCCCCUACAGUGUGCUUCCAACCUGUGUUGAUAUAUAUAUACAGAGAGAGCGAGAAUGUCACAGUUAAAUUUUUUUUACUAGUAUAAUGAGGAAAGAGACCAACAGAAGAAGUUCCCUUGGCUAAUUUUCUAGCCAGCAGCCACUGCAAUGUUCCCACUAGGAGAAACUGAAGAAGUGAGAGAGUGAUAUAAUAAAUAAUGACUGGCUCUGCUGGUAAGGAGAAAUUAUCACUGUGCUUGGGGGAUCUAAGUAUGUGCUCACCCAAGAUAUGUGGAGGGGGAUGGGGCUGGGAGCACUCUGUCGUGUCUCUAGAAGAACGUUCAGCAAUGUUUGAAUUUAAAAGGACUUCAGACACCGCACAGUCUGCUAAACCAAGGAUGGGAAAAGCUGGAUGGAGCUGUCUGGAUGAGACACGUGAAAAGAUGACAAAGGAGUUUCGAAUCGAAGAUCUUGGUUUAAACAUACUCCUGAAAAAGGAAGGUUUAAAGCAAUGGGUGGGUUCACAGCCAGGCCCAAGAGCUGAGGUCCUAACUGGUUUCCCCAAGGGUGAGUUCCUGUGCUGCUUGCCAGGUGACUAAGGCUGCGCCCAGCCUCGUCCUGGUCAGACUGAUGGUGGCAAGGAAAAAGAUGGAGAGAGAGAUAUACCUUUCCUAUAUUUAACUUCUGCCUUGGAUAAAGCAAUGACAGGAAACACUGGGGAAAAAAUUUUGUCUGCAGCUGAGUUGGUAUUUGGAGACUGAACUGAGUAGUGUGACACAAGAGUCUGUGUGUAAAAGAAACUUGUGUUUUGUCAACACCAGCUUUUCACCACUGGAUUUUAGGGGAGAGGCUAAGGAGACUGCUCUUGGCUUGAGACCUAACUUUGGCCAGGGCUGGGAGGCUGAGCCAGGGCUGCAGCUGCUCUUGUGAGAAAUGAUAGUAAAAUCAUUCAUCUCUGGCUGUAAUGGCCCCUCUUGCAUAGAAAGUAGCCGUAUUUUAAAAUCUAUGAGGCUUUUUCUUUAUUGUAGACUAAAAGGAGGAGCAAACCGAGAUAAAGUCACAUAUACGAGCCGAGCACUAUGUGCAUGUGUCUAUGUGUUUCUCUUCAAAGCUCUGUCUUGCAACAUGGCAUUUGCCCCUGCAGGCAGGCAUAGUCCUUAGAAACAUAAAGGUGCAGUUCAGAGAAAAGGUCUCUUACAGGAAAGAAAAGUGUUAGGGCUUAGCUGAACACAAAUUAUUAGGCUUGGUGUAGGGCAGCUCGGUAAGGAGCAGUGGUCUGCGAUCCAGAUGAUGUCAGAUCAGAUGGUCAAAUGGUUUUGCCUACCCUUAGGUUCUAUUAAUUAAACUAUAUGGAAAAAAAUCCCAUGAGCUGUAUUUGCUAAAAUC